rnacentral:rRNA from 1 species
AAGUCGUAACAAGGUACCCUUCCACCCAUCGGGAGCCUUGCAAAUCAGUCUGCUGGAGUUGACCUCCUCCAGGCGAGACUCGCCUGUUGCUGGAAAUCCCCCCGGGGAUGAUCAGCAGCCGUCCUUCCGGGGACGGUCCACAGAUCAAUUGCGAGCCGUUCCUGCCCGGGGUCUCAUCCCCCCGGGCAAGAAUUAAGAUAUGACCGACUCUCCCGGGGUACCGCGCCCGGGAGUACACUGGUUCCGUAGGUGAACCUGCGGAAGGAUCAUUAUCGAGUUCGGGUCCCUAGGGGCCCAACCUCCAACCCCAUGUUUAUUUACUUUGUUGCUUUGGCGGGUCGCGGUCCCCGUGGCCCCGCCGGCUCCGGCUGGCGAGCACCCGUCAGAGACCACCCAAAAAUCAUUCUUAACUAGUCAUGUCUGNNAAUAAAUUUAAUAGCAAAAAACUUUCAACAACGGAUCUCUUGGUUCUGGCAUCGAUGAAGAACGCAGCGAAAUGCGAUAAGUAAUGUGAAUUGCAGAAUUCAGUGAAUCAUCGAAUCUUUGAACGCACAUUGCGCCCCCUGGUAUUCCGGGGGGCAUGCCUGUUCGAGCGUCAUUACACCACUCAAGCCCAGCUUGGUAUUGGGAAUCUUGCUCUCCUUUCGGGGAGCAAUUCCCAAAAAUUAGCGGCGGUGCAGCCGGACUUCCCAGCGCAGUGACUUACAUCUCGCUACGGAACUCGACUGCCCGGCCCGGAUAACCCUUUUUUCUCCCCGGAGGAAAUAAUUUUUCAAUGGUUGACCUCGGAUCAGGUAGGGAUACCCGCUGAACUUAAGCAUAUCAAUAAGCGGAGGAAAAGAAACCAACAGGGAUUGCCUCAGCAACGGCGAGUGAAGCGGCAACAGCUCAAAUUUGAAAUCUGGCCUUGCGGUCCGAGUUGUAAUUUGUAGAGGAUGCUUCGGGUGCGGUACCGUUCUAAGUCCCUUGGAACAGGGCGUCAUAGAGGGUGAGAAUCCCGUACGUGACCGGUGGCCAAGUCCAUGUGAAGCUCCUUCGACGAGUCGAGUUGUUUGGGAAUGCAGCUCAAAAUGGGUGGUAAAUUUCAUCUAAAGCUAAAUACCGGCCAGAGACCGAUAGCGCACAAGUAGAGUGAUCGAAAGAUGAAAAGCACUUUGGAAAGAGAGUUAAACAGUACGUGAAAUUGUUGAAAGGGAAGCGCUUGCAGCCAGACUCGCCCGGGGGUGAUCAACCGUCUCUCGGGGCGGUGCACUCUCCCCCGGUCGGGCCAGCAUCGGUUUGGGCGGCCGGAUAAAGGCCCCGGGAAUGUGACUCCCUUCGGGGUGUGUUAUAGCCCGGGGUGCAAUGCGGCCAGCCUGGAUCGAGGACCGCGCUUUUGCUAGGAUGCUGGCGUAAUGGCUGCCAGCGACC